CAAAAGUGAAUGGCUCUGUGUUCACUCUGUACUUUGGCAUGAAGCUCAUUGUGAUAUUGCAUGGAUAUGCAGCAACAAAAGAAGGCUUGAUUGAUCACGGAGAGGAGUUUACUAAAAGAGGAAGCUUCCCAGUAGCUGAAAAAAUUAAUAAAGGCCUUGGUGAUGAACAGAUCUUCAAUUACUAUGUGAAUGCUACUCAACCCUGAAAUACAUUUCAUAGAACAGUCAAGUUAUCUGCUUAAAUUAUGAAGAAACUUGUCUUUAAGUACUUUCUCCAAAAUAAAAUGAAGACUGACAAUCAUAUUUUGGCUCACCCUGUGACCCUACCUUCAUCUUGGGCUGUGCUCCUUGCAAUGUCAUCUGCUCC
ensembl:lncRNA